rnacentral:lncRNA from 1 species
AACAAGAAGCCAUAAAGUUCAGUUUUUACUGUCCUGUGAGCAGCGGUUGCUGAAGGCUCCAAUUCAGUCCUUCAUGGAUUUUGAGUUCAGCAGCUGAAAAGGUCACUAUCCUGCUAGCACUCUUAACUCCAGCAAACAUUGUAAUUGGAGCCUCCAAACUAAUCACAGGGGGUUAAACCCUGUUCUUCAGAGCUGUCACCAGUAUGGAUCUGUCAAAAUCAUUGCUUCCAUCCAAGCACCUAUGGUGACACUUCUUCACAGGGCAUUCUUGGAGAGAGGAGGAGCCAGAGGAAGACACACUGCAGCUAUCCCAGAAUAAGUUUCAGAGAGAUUAAAAGAAAAAAAUGAAACAAAAUCAAAUCAAUGAAAAUGCAGGCAGAGCCAGGUAAGUGGGAAAUAAAAAAUUAAUCAAGAGAAGUCUCUGUGUAAGG